rnacentral:rRNA from 1 species
GCAAGUCGAACGGUAACAGGAAACAGCUUGCUGUUUCGCUGACGAGUGGCGGACGGGUGAGUAAUGUCUGGGAAACUGCCUGAUGGAGGGGGAUAACUACUGGAAACGGUAGCUAAUACCGCAUAACGUCGCAAGACCAAAGAGGGGGACCCUCGGGCCUCUUGCCAUCGGAUGUGCCCAGAUGGGAUUAGCUUGUUGGUGGGGUAACGGCUCACCAAGGCGACGAUCCCUAGCUGGCCUGAGAGGAUGACCAGCCACACUGGAACUGAGACACGGUCCAGACUCCUACGGGAGGCAGCAGUGGGGAAUAUUGCACAAUGGGCGCAAGCCUGAUGCAGCCAUGCCGCGUGUAUGAAGAAGGCCUUCGGGUUGUAAAGUACUUUCAGCGGGGAGGAAGGGAGUAAAGUUAAUACCUUUGCUCAUUGACGUUACCCGCAGAAGAAGCACCGGCUAACUCCGUGCCAGCAGCCGCGGUAAUACGGGGGUGCAAGCGUUAAUCGGAAUUACUGGGCGUAAA